rnacentral:rRNA from 1 species
AUUGAACGCUGGCGGCAGGCCCAAUACAUGCAAGUCGAGCGGACGGAGGGAGCUUUUUCCUGGAUUCCGCGACGGACGGGCGGGUAAUGCCUAGGAAUCUGCCUGGCAGUGGGGGAUGACGUCCCGACGCGGGAGCUGAUACCACAUACGUCCAGAGGUAGAAAGUGGUGGUUCUUCGGACAUAGCGCUAUCUGCUGAGCCUAGGUCGGAUUAGCUAGUUGGUGUGGUAAAGGCUUACCAAGGCGACGAUCCGUAGCUGCUCUGAGAGGAUGAUCAGUCACACUGGAACUGAGACACGGUCCAGACUCCUACGGGAGGCAGCAGUGGGGAAUAUUGCACAAUGGGCGAAAGCCUGAUGCAGCCACGCCGCGUGUGUGAAGAAGGUCUUCGGAUCGUAAAGCUCUGUAAGUUGGGAGGAAGAGAAGUAAGUGAAUCUCUGGCUGUUUUGACGUUACCAAAUGAGAAAGCACCGGCUAACUUCGUG